rnacentral:rRNA from 1 species
UACGGAGGGGGCUAGCGUUGUUCGGAAUUACUGGGCGUAAAGCGCACGUAGGCGGCUUUGUAAGUUAGAGGUGAAAGCCCGGGGCUCAACUCCGGAAUUGCCUUUAAGACUGCAUCGCUAGAAUUGUGGAGAGGUAAGUGGAAUUCCGAGUGUAGAGGUGAAAUUCGUAGAUAUUCGGAAGAACACCAGUGGCGAAGGCGACUUACUGGACACAUAUUGACGCUGAGGUGCGAAAAGCGUGGGGAGCAAACAGGG